AGAGUUUGAUCCUGGCUCAGAUUGAACGCCGGCGGCAUGCUUUACACAUGCAAGUCGAACGGUAACAGGCCGCAAGGUGCUGACGAGUGGCGAACGGGUGAGUAAUGCAUCGGAACGUGCCCGGUCGUGGGGGAUAACACUUCGAAAGAAGUGCUAAUACCGCAUACGAUCUGAGGAUGAAAGCGGGGGACCGUAAGGCCUCGCGCGAUCGGAGCGGCCGAUGUCAGAUUAGGUAGUUGGUGGGGUAAAGGCUCACCAAGCCAACGAUCUGUAGCUGGUCUGAGAGGACGACCAGCCACACUGGGACUGAGACACGGCCCAGACUCCUACGGGAGGCAGCAGUGGGGAAUUUUGGACAAUGGGCGCAAGCCUGAUCCAGCAAUGCCGCGUGCAGGAAGAAGGCCUUCGGGUUGUAAACUGCUUUUGUACGGAACGAAACGGUCCGGGUUAAUACCCUGGGCUAAUGACGGUACCGUAAGAAUAAGCACCGGCUAACUACGUGCCAGCAGCCGCGGUAAUACGUAGGGUGCAAGCGUUAAUCGGAAUUACUGGGCGUAAAGCGUGCGCAGGCGGUUUUGUAAGACAGGCGUGAAAUCCCCGGGCUCAACCUGGGAAUUGCGCUUGUGACUGCAAGGCUGGAGUGCGGCAGAGGGGGAUGGAAUUCCGCGUGUAGCAGUGAAAUGCGUAGAUAUGCGGAGGAACACCGAUGGCGAAGGCAAUCCCCUGGGCCUGCACUGACGCUCAUGCACGAAAGCGUGGGGAGCAAA
rnacentral:rRNA from 1 species